rnacentral:rRNA from 1 species
AGUAACGCGUGAGGAACCUGCCUUGAAGAGGGGGACAACAGUUGGAAACGACUGCUAAUACCGCAUGAAGCGUAGGGGUCGCAUGAUUCUUAUGCCAAAGAUUUAUCGCUUCAAGAUGGCCUCGCGUCUGAUUAGCUGGUUGGCGGGGUAACGGCCCACCAAGGCGACGAUCAGUAGCCGGACUGAGAGGUUGAACGGCCACAUUGGGACUGAGACACGGCCCAG